rnacentral:rRNA from 1 species
AUUGAACGCUGGCGGCAUGCCUUACACAUGCAAGUCGAACGGUAACGGGCCUUCGGGUGCCGACGAGUGGCGAACGGGUGAGUAAUGUAUCGGAACGUACCUUUCAGUGGGGGAUAACGUAGCGAAAGUUACGCUAAUACCGCAUAUUCUGUGCGCAGGAAAGCAGGGGAUCGCAAGACCUUGCGCUGAUUGAGCGGCCGAUAUCAGAUUAGCUAGUUGGUGAGGUAAAGGCUCACCAAGGCGACGAUCUGUAGCGGGUCUGAGAGGAUGAUCCGCCACACUGGAACUGAGACACGGUCCAGACUCCUACGGGAGGCAGCAGUGGGGAAUUUUGGACAAUGGGGGCAACCCUGAUCCAGCCAUGCCGCGUGAGUGAAGAAGGCCUUCGGGUUGUAAAGCUCUUUCGGCCGGGAAGAAAUCGCAUGGGCUAAUACCCUGUGCGGAUGACGGUACCGGCAUAAGAAGCACCGGCUAACUACGUG